rnacentral:RNase_P_RNA from 1 species
UGCGCAGGUUCAGAUAGUCGCCGGACUGCAAAGUCUGGAGGAAAGUCCGGGCUCCGUAGGACACCGUGAUGGAUAACGUCCACCGACCGCGAGGUUAGGGAAAGUGCAACAGAAAGAUACCGCCGAACGAAUCCGGUAACGGAUUGCGUGGCAAGGGUGAAAUGGCGAAUUAAGAGUUCACCGGCGGCUGGGCAACCAGUCGGCUCGGCAAACCCCACGGGGAGCAAAACCAAGCAGGAUUAGGGUCGUCCGCCCGUAACAGUCCGGGUUGGUCGCUUGAGAUUACGGGUAACCGAUAAUCCAGAUGAAUGACUAUCAACGAGAAAUCGUUACAGAACCCGGCUUACGAACCUGCGUGUUUU